ensembl:lncRNA
UCUCAUUCUAGCCUUUGCAUUCAAACGCGAACCUGCUGGUUUAUUUCACACUCAAAAGUAUAGGCUUGCCAUUGCCCUUUGGAGGUGCAGAUUUUUGCUGUGACAAGAGUUGAAAAGACAGGACAGUAAGCGAAUAAAACAUUUAUGAGAUGAGUAGCAUAUUGACUACUAGUGAAGUCUGUAGAUGGUUUUAUGGGGUAGCUGUCGGGAUCCAGGAGAAAGAAGAUAUGCCACGUGGAUGCACCACCAUGGCUGUUUUCUAGAGCCCCAUUUGGACCUAGUUUGGACCAGUUACACCAUGCAUCUCCAAAGAAGUAUCUGGAGCGGUUCUUUCCAGGACUGUCCAACUUGAGAAUGGUGACAUUAGACUCAAUCUCAGACCGGCCCAGAUUGGUCUAGACCAGAUCAGACUCGUCCAGACCAGAUCAGACAGGUCCAGAGCAGAUCAGACUGGUCCAGACCAGAUCAGACAGGUCCAGACCAGAUCCAGAACAAGAUGAUGCAUGGGACAGCAGCAGUAAGAAUGUACACAUGUUUUG